rnacentral:tRNA from 1 species
CAGGAGAUAGCUCAAUGUUAGAGCACAGGACUUGCAUUCCUGAAGUCCCAGGGUUCCUUCUGGGUUUGGUCCCCAGCUGCCAGA